CGAAAGCCUGACGGAGCAACGCCGCGUGGGGGAAGAAGGUUCUUGGAUUGUAAACCCCUUUUCUCAGGGAAGAAGUUCUGACGGUACCUGAGGAAUCAGCCUCGGCUAACUCCGUGCCAGCAGCCGCGGUAAUACGGAGGAGGCAAGCGUUAUCCGGAAUUAUUGGGCGUAAAGCGUCCGCAGGGGGCGCAUCAAGUCUGCUGUUAAAGGCUGGAGCUCAACUCCGGUAGAGCAGUGGAAACUGGUGCGCUAGAGGGCGACAGGGGUAGAGGGAAUUCCCGGUGUAGCGGUGAAAUGCGUAGAGAUCGGGAAGAACAUCGGUGGCGAAAGCGCUCUACUGGGCCGCAACUGACACUGAGGGACGAAAGCUAGGGGAGCG
rnacentral:rRNA from 1 species